rnacentral:rRNA from 1 species
UACAGAGGGGGCAAGCGUUGUUCGGAAUUACUGGGCGUAAAGGGCGCGUAGGCGGCCCGCUAAGUCGAACGUGAAAUCCCCGAGCUCAACUCGGGAACUGCGUCCGAUACUGGCGGGUUUGAAUCCGGGAGAGGGAUGCGGAAUUCCAGGUGUAGCGGUGAAAUGCGUAGAUAUCAGGAAGAACACCAAUGGCGAAGGCAGCUCUCUGGGACGGUACUGACGCUGAGACGCGAAAGCGUGGGGAGCGAACAGG